rnacentral:rRNA from 1 species
CAAUAGCGUAUAUUAAAGUUGUUGCAGUUAAAAAGCUCGUAGUUGGAUUUCUGGUUGAAGCGACCGGUCGGGCGUUGAUUCGUCUGCACUGGAGUCGGUUUUGGCCAUCCUCUAGGAAAGUGCGUCUGGUAUUAAGUUAUCGGGCGUAUGAUCCUGGUCUUUUACUGUGAAAAAAUUAGAGUGUUUAAAGCAGGCCUUCGCCUUGAAUACAUUAGCAUGGAAUAAUAAGAUAGGACUUUGGUCUAUUUUGUUGGUUUGCAGACCGAAGUAAUGGUUAAUAGGGAUAGUUGGGGGUAUUUAUAUUCCGAUGUCAGAGGUGAAAUUCUUAGAUUUUCGGAAGAUAAACUUAUGCGAAAGCAUUUACCAAGGAUGUUUNCAUUAA